UUCUAAAUGCAACCUCGUGGACAACAGCACAGGCACUUAGGGAAUGUGCAGUCAGCUUAACUGGUGAAUGCUGUUCCUGAAGAUGAUAAUGCAACUUUCUGGCCUUAAAGUCAUGCCACAAUAAGAAUGACACAGAAUAUGGAAAACUUAUACCAGAGAGAAAACUGCAUUAAAGCUUCGUGAUAGAUUCUUCUGCACUAAGGAACAUCAUUCUGUUAUCUGUCAGCUCUAAAACCAGUCUGAGAUAGCACACCUUGAAACAACCCAAGCAGCCACUCAAAUACAUGGCACCUCACGAAGGAUGAAGGCAGAAGUAAUUCUACGUCCUCGGCGAUAUCUAUGACACAUGCCUAGUUCAGAGCACCGAAGACCAUGGUACCAUAUGUCUCAUUAAGCACAGGAGCUAGACUCAUUUCUGGUGACUUCUAUCUGAACCCCAAAGUAAAAUUCAAG